GAUGGUUCAUUCAAAUUUCUUCCCUAUCAACUUUCGAUGUUUGGGUAUUGGCCAAACAUGGUUGCAACGGGUAACGGAGGGUUAGGGCUCGACCCCGGAGAAGGAGCCUGAGAAACGGCUACUACAUCCAAGGAAGGCAGCAGGCGCGCAAAUUACCCAAUCCCGACACGGGGAGGUAGUGACAAUAAAUACUGAUACAGGGCUCUUUUGGGUCUUGUAAUUGGAAUGAGUACAAUUUAAAUCCCUUAACGAGGAACAAUUGGAGGGCAAGUCUGGUGCCAGCAGCCGCGGUAAUUCCAGCUCCAAUAGCGUAUAUUAAAGUUGUUGUGGUUAAAAAGCUCGUAGUUGAACCUUGGGCCUGGCUGGCCGGUCCGCCUCACCGCGUGUACUGGUCCGGCCGGGCCUUUCCCUCUGUGGAACCCCAUGCCCUUCACUGGGCGUGGCGGGGAAACAGGACUUUUACUGUGAAAAAAUUAGAGUGCUCCAGGCAGGCCUAUGCUCGAAUACAUUAGCAUGGAAUAAUAGAAUAGGACGUGUGGUUCUAUUUUGUUGGUUUUCUAAGGACCGCCCGUAAAUGAUUAAUAGGGACAGUCGGGGGCAUNAGUAUUCAAUUGUCAGAGGUGAAAUUCUUUGGAUUUAUUGAAGACUAACUACUGNGAAAGCAUUUUGCCAAGGAUGUUUUCAUUUAUNAGGAACG
rnacentral:rRNA from 1 species